AGGACCAGCCAGUUGUUGACUGUGGAAGCAAUCGGAGGGCUUGAGCGCAAAUGGCCGCCGUGGCAGGGAGGACUGAAGCGUCAAAGGCUGGAUUUUUUUCUGCCUUCAUUUUCCAGAUUGGAAACUCCAGCUUCUACCAUCCUUCUUUUGGAUUGUCUUACUAGCAACACUUGGCCUUAUAAAAUAUUUCAUUUUCUUUC
rnacentral:lncRNA from 1 species